rnacentral:lncRNA from 1 species
AUGGGAAGAAGUAACCUAGACCCAACAUGCAAGUUCAGGGAUUUCAAGACAGGAGGCCAAACACUGAAACAACAUCUGACAAAAAUCUGCCAGGGCUUAUCUUGGCUGCAUGUUUUGCAUUCAUUUUGCAUACAUACCACUGGAGCAAACUAUAUGCCUGAAACCACACUGUGUGUCCUGCAAUGUGGGCCAGAGAAGCACUUAGAAAAGCUGGGAGAGGACAAAAGGCCUAUAUAAAGGGAGGUACAGCAGUUUUAUCGCUGUUCAAAGAAUUUUAUAAUGAAACAAAAGCUGAGUGUGUUGCACAUAUCCUAGCCGUUUUAUGCAAUGGUAAUAUAUCAGCAAUGAUUUAUCCAUGCGGAUGUAAAAAGUUGCCUUUAAUUCACUGAUAAGCAGAGUGCCUUCAUGUCAGCAAGGAACCAAGAGACAUCUUGUAUUGCAAUGCUUUAUCACAAUUCAAUUACUUUCCAAGAGUCCAAAAAUGCAAACACUGUAGAAACACAUGAGCACAAUUUCCAGGAUCUUUCUGAGACUCUGAUAUUGAUAGCCAGCAUCAGCUAUUGCUGGAGGCAUUAAUAUCAAUUGCUAGUGUGAGGAAAGUAUCAUUUCACCGAAUCAUUGAUUUUUUUUUUCUUACUUAUUAUUAUAAAAACACAUUUAGUGCCAUUAAUUUAUGGGGCAUUCUAUACAUGUAAAAGUAUAUUUCUGCUCAGUAGAGCUUGCAGUCUAAAUUAGACCAAUAUAUGAAAAAAGAUAUAUUGAUGAUUAAAAGAGAAAAAAAGAAGUGAAUGAAAUUGCAUUUACCUAUUCCUUGAAUCUGACCAUGUUUCCAGUUGCUAAUGGGCCCAAAUUUUAAAAGUAUUUGAGCUUCUAUUUUCUGAAUAUUGGGGUGCUUAAAUAUCUUUCAAAAUAUGGUAAUUUUACGAGUGGAACCUUAUGGUUUUAUAAAUGGCACCAGAAAAAACACAUCUAACAGGAGAUGAGCAAAGAUGCCUUUGUGCCUUAUGAAUCUUAUAUUGUCCUGGACACUAGAGGCAAUUUAGAUAGUCUUGAAAGGGGUCUGCCAUGUUGUGAAGCCCUCUCAGGUUGCAGAGCCAUCUGUAAUCUUCAUAACACUUUGAGUUUUAACUAGAUCCCUGAAAACUCUUUCCCUUUUAGGCUUUUUUUCCUAGGCAAACACUGUAUUGUUUCUCUGUCUAUUGUGUCCUGUGAGAGAAAUACUUUUGUGGGCCAGGGUAGUGUUUUAAAACCCAUUUUUGCAAACUCUUUUGCCUUUUACACAAAUAAAGAUGUCACUCAAGAGACCUUAUUACA